AUUGAACGCUGGCGGCAGGCCUAACACAUGCAAGUCGAACGGUAACAGGAAACAGCUUGCUGUUUCGCUGACGAGUGGCGGACGGGUGAGUAAUGUCUGGGAAACUGCCUGAUGGAGGGGGAUAACUACUGGAAACGGUAGCUAAUACCGCAUAACGUCGCAAGACCAAAGAGGGGGACCCUCGGGCCUCUUGCCAUCGGAUGUGCCCAGAUGGGAUUAGCUUGUUGGUGGGGUAACGGCUCACCAAGGCGACGAUCCCUAGCUGGUCUGAGAGGAUGACCAGCCACACUGGAACUGAGACACGGUCCAGACUCCUACGGGAGGCAGCAGUGGGGAAUAUUGCACAAUGGGCGCAAGCCUGAUGCAGCCAUGCCGCGUGUAUGAAGAAGGCCUUCGGGUUGUAAAGUACUUUCAGCGGGGAGGAAGGGAGUAAAGUUAAUACCUUUGCUCAUUGACGUUACCCGCAGAAGAAGCACCGGCUAACUCCGUA
rnacentral:rRNA from 1 species